rnacentral:rRNA from 1 species
AACGAACGCUGGCGGCAUGCCUAACACAUGCAAGUCGAACGAUGCCUUCGGGCAUAGUGGCGCACGGGUGCGUAACGCGUGGGAACCUGCCUUUCGGUUCGGAAUAACUCAGGGAAACUUGAGCUAAUACCGGAUAACGUCGCAAGACCAAAGAUUUAUCACCGAAAGAUGAGCCCGCGUAGGAUUAGCUAGUUGGUGAGGUAAAGGCUCACCAAGGCGACGAUCCUUAGCUGGUCUGAGAGGAUGAUCAGCCACACUGGGACUGAGACACGGCCCAGACUCCUACGGGAGGCAGCAGUGGGGAAUAUUGGACAAUGGGCGAAAGCCUGAUCCAGCAAUGCCGCGUGAGUGAUGAAGGCCUUAGGGUUGUAAAGCUCUUUUACCCGGGAAGAUAAUGACGGUACCGGGAGAAUAAGCCCCGGCUAACUCCGUG